GUCUUUGUUUUGAGGAUUUGCUUUGCUUUGUGAAUUGAAUGUAGGCACCAAUUUUUGGGUUCCAAGGGGAAUGAGCUAAAUUAGAAUUUAACUAUGAAAAAAAUUUUCAGUAUCUUCUUAAAUCUGGAUGGGGUCACAAAAGUGAGUUACAGUCUUUGCAAUUGAUUAAAGUUUCAGAUUGCUCAAGAGAGAAGUGAAAACAGUAAAUUAGCAUCUUCCACUUAAAUAUGAUAACUCCUUUUGCAACUUUUGAGCUAAACCAAUUACUCUGCUUGUAUUAAAUUAUGGAAAUGUUAGUAUAUAUGUAUUAAUGUAUUAGAACAUCUUAAGUACACUGGCUCUGUUUGGGAUUGUGGUGGAAAAGCACCAUUUUAGAUGCCAAUGAAAAAAGUAGUUUGAAAAAAAGGCUAUUUAGUUGAUUUGUAGUUCUUAUCACUAAAACUAUUAAAUUUAACUUUAAGCCAAGUUUUAAUACUUUAUAACUAGCACAUUUUAGGAGUUGCUUUUUACAACAACAGCUCCAAUAACAAUGCCAAACAUAGCCAGUACUUUCUCAGUCUCCAAGUUUUUUUUAGUGCAUCUUCAGAGGUUUCUAAUUCUUCUUUAUGGCGUGAUCAAAUCUAUGAGUUAGUGGUAGGUUCUAUUAUUUGUUUCUUUAGCUUCAACAAGAGGCACAAUAUUUUUCUAUUUGGGGGGUUAAAUCUCCAUUAUUUUGUAGUUGAUAUAUAGUUUCUACGCUUUUUGCACUCAUUAGCUGCUUUGGUGCUCGAGUUGAUGCUGUUUCUGCUUUAUGGAACUUUUGAGGAAAAGGGUGACGUGAUUAUGGGAUGCCAAUUUUCCAGGGUCAGUUGGGAUCAGUUUCUUCUCCAGAGG
rnacentral:misc_RNA from 1 species